rnacentral:rRNA from 1 species
CCUACGGGUGACAGCAGUGAGGAAUAUUGGACAAUGGGCGCGAGCCUGAUGCAGCAAAGCAGCGUGAAGGAUGAAUGCCCUACGGGCUGUAAACCUCUUUUAUAAAGGAAUAAAGUCAGGCACGUGUCCCUUUAUGUAUGUAUUUUAUGAAUAAGGAUAGGCUAACCCCGUGCCAGCAGACGCGGUAAUACGGAGGAUCCGAGCGUUAUCCGGAUUUAUUGGGUUUAAAGGGAACGUAGAUGGGUUGUUAAGUCAGUUGUGAAAGUUUGCGGCUCAACCGUAACAGUGCAAUUGAUACUGGCAGCCUUGAGUACAGUUGAGGUAAGCGGAAUUCGUUGUGUAGCGGUGAAAUGCUUAGAUAUCACGAAGAACUCCGAUUGCGAAGGCAGCCUACUAAACUGCCACUGACGUUGAUGCUCGAAAGUGUGGGUAUCAAACAGGAUUAGAUACCCCGGUAGUC